rnacentral:pre_miRNA from 1 species
UUACUACUCCCUCCGUCCCAAAAUAAGUGUCUCAACCUUAGUACAACUUUGUACUAAAGUUAGUACAAAGUUGAGACACUUAUUUUGGGACGGAGGGAGUAUAAA